AGAGUUUGAUCCUGGCUCAGAUUGAACGCUGGCGGCAUGGCUAAAACAUGCAAGUCGAACGCGAAAGCACUUCGGUGCAAGUAGAGUGGCGAAAGGGCGAGGAAUAAGUACCUAACGUGCCUUCAGGUAAGGGAUAGCUCAUGGAAACGUGUGGUAAUACCUUAUAAUCUCAUUGCUCCAUAUGGAGUUUUGAGCAAAGGCUUGCUGUCUGAAGAUCGGGGUACUUCCUAUCAGCUUGUUGGUGAGGUAACGGCUCACCAAGGCGAAGACGGGUAGCUGGUGUGAGAGCACGACCAGCCGCAUCGGGACUGAGACACUGCCCGGACUCCUACGGGAGGCUGCAGUAACGAAUAUUCCGCAAUGCGCGAAAGCGUGACGGAGCAAUGCCGCGUGUGGGAUGAAGCAUCUAGGUGUGUAAACCACUGUCAGGGUUUAGGAAACAAAUGACCAGACCCAAAGGAAGAGCCGGCUAACUCUGUGCCAGCAGCCGCGGUAAUACAGAGGGCUCAAGCGUUAAUCGGAAUCACUGGGCUUAAAGGGUCCGCAGGCGGAUCGGUAAGUAUCUUGUGAAAUACCAUGGCUCAACCAUGGAAUUGCUCGGUAAACUGCCAAUCUUGAACACGGUAGGGGCCAUCGGAACUCUAGGUGGAGCGGUGAAAUGCGUAGAUAUCUAGAGGAACGCCAGAGGCGAAGGCGGAUGGCUGGGCCGUUGUUGACGCUCAGGGACGAAAGCAUGGGUAGCGAACGGGAUUAGAUACCCCGGUAGUCCAUGCCCUAAACGAUGUGCACUAGGUCGCGGAGGGUUUGACCCCAUCGCGGCUGAAGUUAAAAUAUUAAGUGCACCGCCUGGGGAGUACGGUCGCAAGGCUAAAACUCAAAGGAAUUGACGGGGGCUCACACAAGCGGUGGAGCAUGUGGCUUAAUUCGAAACAACGCGAAGAACCUUAUCCAGGGCUUGACAUGUAUGGAUUAUUGAUCCGAAAGGUGAUAGACGCUCUCUGAGUGGAACAUACACAGGUGCUGCAUGGCUGUCGUCAGCUCGUGCUGUGAAGUGUCGGGUUAAGUCCCUUAACGAGCGAAACCCCUAUCCCUAGUUGCCAGCGAGUCAUGUCGGGGACUCUAGGGAGACUGCCGGCGUCAAGCCGGAGGAAGGUGGGGAUGACGUCAAGUCCUCAUGGCCUUUAUGCCCUGGGCUGCACACGUGCUACAAUGGUAUCGACAGAGCGACGCAAAGCGGCGACGUGGAGCAAAUCGCACAAACGAUGCCUCAGUUCGGAUUGUAGUCUGCAACUCGACUACAUGAAGUUGGAAUCGCUAGUAAUCGCGUAUCAGCAACGACGCGGUGAAUAAGUUCCUGAGCCUUGUACACACCGCCCGUCACGUCAUGGGAGCCGGGAGCACCCGAAGUAGCCACAACUCAGUGGUUCCUACGGUGAGCUCGGUGACUGGGACGAAGUCGAAACAAGGUA
rnacentral:rRNA from 1 species